GGAAUCUCCAGCAGAUUAUCGUUAGAGCUCCGGUGAGCGUCUUCGUCUCUCGCUGCACCGCUGAACUGGAACUGAACUCACGGGUGUACAGAGUGAGGGGUGACAGUUUCAGAAAGUUUCUGACAGCGUUGAAUUGCACGGAGACUGCAAACUACAUCAUCUCCACUUCUCCAUUUCCUUCAUUAAGAACAUAACAGACAGAGAAAGGGUCGCGUGGAACCUGGAGCCUAUCCCAGGGAGGAUGGGGUACGAGGCGGGGUACACCCUGGAUAGGGUGCCGAUCCAUCACAGGGCACACUCACAUACACUACGGACACUUUGGACACGCCAGUCAGUCUACCAUGCAUGUCUUUGGACUGGGGGAGGAAACCGGAGAACCCCGAGGAAACCCCCACAGCACGGGGAGAACAUGCAAACUCCACACACACAGCGCAGCGGCAGGAAUCGAACCCCCAACACCUGGAGGUGUGAGGUGAACCUUCUAACCACUAAACCACCGUGCGCAUA